GUCUACGGCCAUACCAUGCUGAACGUGCCCGAUCUCGUCUGAUCUCGGAAGCUAAGCAGGGUCGGGCCUGCUUAGUACUUGGAUGGGAGACA
rnacentral:rRNA from 1 species